GACAGAGGUGCCAAGCGUUAGGCGGAAUCACUGGGCUUAAAGCGUGUGUAGGCGGGUCGUUAAGUACCUUGUGAAAUCCCCCGGCUCAACCGGGGAACGGCUGGGUAUACUGGCGAUCUUGAGCGACCUAGGGGCAGUCGGAACAAGUGGUGGAGCGGUGAAAUGCGUAGAUAUCAGGAGGAACACCUGUGGCGAAAGCGGCUCACUGGACCAUCACUGACGCUGAGGCGCGAAAGCUAGGGGAGCAAACAGG
rnacentral:rRNA from 1 species